GCACGAGGUUUUCCGACACCUUCAGGACAAAAUGGGGAGGAGUCGGAAGGGCAAGCGAACAUCCUGUUAAAGCGGCACUGUGCUCUGCUUCUUGGGGCUGACAGGAGACAAGGCUAUUCUGUCUCUUCUUCUUCGGUGGGCUCUUUGUUUUCUCAAACGCCAAAUUCUUAGAAGACCCAGGUAUUCACCUAAGAAAUACUGGAUGCCCACCAAUAAGGCACCAGGAAUCCUGCUGGGGCGCCUGGCUUAGGGCGGGAAGGGGGAGCCCGCUGGCCUCCCUACGUCCCCACCGUCAUGGGGCCUCUGUGGUGAGUGGAGAUCCUGCUACCUCAGCGGCUAAAGCAACGUGGCGCUGGAGGGUGACCCCGCGGGGCAGUCAAUGUGGUGGUGUCUGAGGACGGCUGGGCGUGUGCUGGCAGGAAGGAGCAGGUACCUGGCGGGGGAUGCGUCCGUGGUACCAGGCGUGGCUGCGCAGGUCCUCACCACUCAGCAGCAGCUCCUCCUCCAGCUCCUUCUUCAGCCUCUCGGAGGUCCUGUCCAUGACGUGCCUCUCCUUGGAGAACUGCAACACAGGGUCAAUGGUGACGUCCCCCAGCUGCCCGGGACAGCCAGGCCUGCCGGCUGGAAAAACCAGCCAGCGUCGCAGUUGGCUGCUUGGCUAGUCAAGCCAGUUUAUGCCAAAAGCCUCGUUCAGACUGGAACUUGAAACUGAAACACUGGUCUUUUGCCUCUGAAGGUUUGAGGAGUAUCACGGAGGUAGGUGGCCAUGCAGCGGCCGGGGCAGGGGUCUGGAUGGGCGACAGAGCCUCCAGAUCCCUUUAGAAUCCACGCACACUCACGUGUCAGCUGCACUUGCACUCCUGCCUCAGGGAUCACUGGCUGAAGGUCACGGCAGCAGAAAAAGGCCGUGUCCUUGGGUUUUCCCAAGUUCCCCACCUUGGCCUCAAAAGCUUCUAGGAUCUCCGAAUUCUCCUCAUCACGCUGCUCUGCUCUGCUCUGCAGCAAGGGAAGGGGCCCAGACCCUUCUCCACCCAAGGAAGAGGAAGCAGACUUGGGAUUUUUACAGCCCUCAAGUCUCAGUGGGCAUGUUGGCCCAGGAGGGUACUGGCUGCAGGACUCAGGGCCACUCUCAAAGUGGGGCUCUGGUUUACCAGUUGCUUACUUCUCCCCCCUCCACUUUGCCACCACUCCCUGUCCCGCAGAGCAGACACCUGCAUCACAGAGAUGCCAAGGCCAGCUAUAUCAACUGCCCUCAGUCACCGGCAGCGCUGUUCCACGCUCGUCGUCAACUCUGUAGUUACAUCGGAAGACCCUCAUUGAGAAGACUGCAGUCCAGAACGCACAUCGUCAACCACACUGCGUUUCCUGAUAGUUUAUUUUCUGUCUCGCCUCCCACUGGAUUUUAAGUUUCACGAGAGUGGAAAAAGCCACCUGCCGCCCUCCAGCAAUGCUUGAACAAAUUAGGCUCUCCGCAGUCACUGAAUGAACCAAUACCCCAAGAUGAGGCCUCUCUAGCCUUUCCUUCGUGAUGGAGCUUCUCUUCUUUACUCGCAAACUAUAUGAAGUCUCAUGUUAGCUGAGGCGUGUUGCCACACAACUCAAGGACGUCAUUCCUCAAUUUUCCUCCCUUAAUGUCAUCAUGUGGCCAAGGAAAGGUACACAGCUGCUUAGCAGGACUUCUAAGCCCAGACCUGACGGCUGGAGCUGUUGGUGCCAUCUUGGACACGAGGAGGGAGCCACAGCCUCCAAGUGGGGAGCAGAGGCCCCAAUAGGCCCGAUCCCUCACAACAGUGGGGUCAACAGGCCAGUCCCAGUUUGCCCACCUCCAGGUAUUCUGCAUGACCUUCUGUCCUGUUUAAGCCCAUAUUUUGGUUGUUCCUGUUGCUGGCAGCUGAACUAAACUCCUAACCGAUGCUGUGACCCUAGUUUCCAUUCGGCCACCCUGACAGUCUUUCUGCCAAGCCCAAUUCCCUCAUCCUGUGCCCCGGGCCCACUUCUUCUUGGCCUGAGGUCUGAAAAUGUAGUCAUCAGGAGUCAUGCCCCAGUUAACCCUCCACCCAAACUGUAUUCACCCACACCCGAAAAGCUAUUCCCAUGUUUCUCUUUACAGCCAGCCUCCUUUCUCCCGGAUGCCCAACACCCAGGCCACUUCCCACCAUCAUCCCCUCUCUCCUUCUCAGCAUCCUUCACAAAGAGCCAAGAUUUCUUCGCAUUUUAUAAACAGUAAUCCUUCACUCCAGAUUUUGACAUAAUACUGCUUUACACUUGUUACCGGAGAUAGAAAAUCUGCUAUCUUGUUGCUUCUGCCCUAAUUCCUUAGAGGAAUAUCCACAAUUAUUGUUCUCCCCCCAACUGUGGACUGUGAAGUUGCGGCACUGUCAGCCGCUGUAGGAAAGUACCCAGGAAGGAGAGAAAAGGGGGGUCAGGUAGAUUGACCCUACCUUGAGAUGGAAACUCAGAUUUUAAAAACUAUGCCCUUAAGCUCUUGCAUAAUUUGUGCAAAGUUAGGAGGUUACCCAAUUGACUAGAUUUCCAGCUGGGGUAGAGAGAGAAGGAGGGAGAUAAAGAGGCAGGAGGAGAGGGAGUGGGAGACAGAUCCAGGCCAGCAAGCAAUUGCAAGCAAGGGGACUCUUCAUUGCAAGCCAGUGAGAGCUGGUUCUACUACCCUAAAAAGAACCAGAUCGGUUUCUGAGAGCCUCUACCUCAGCCUCAGACGUGGGCAACAUCUCUCAAACAGCUGACCAAGGCAAUCAGAAGUCACCCACACAGGGUCGCCCUCGUGAUUACAUUAGUAAUUGUUUCAGGGGUAAAUGCCUUCUAGAACUUUCACAUACUCUUUUAAUCACAUACAUUAAUGCAACUUUUAUUAUUCUUCUGAAGUGCCUAUAUUUUAUGAGCCUUGCCCUUGUCAACUACGAUGGUGCCACGAUACAUAAGUACUUUGAUGGGCUGUCAACCUCAUGGUGGGUGAGGGGUGACUGUAAAAUUUGGCAAAAUGUAUCCAUUUGCAUCUUUAAGAGCACUGUGAUGGAUAUCUGUGCUCCUCUGAGAUGAAGAAUGACAUUCCCGCUUCACAGGAUAUAUUGGUCACAUGGGACUGUGAGGUUGGCAGAAUUCCGUCGGCUUGCCCCCAACAACCAGAAUUUCUGCUAACGGUGCAGCCCUCCACUCAAUGUGACCAUCUGGGGCAAACAUGAAUUUGCUCCUGAAAUGCAGCCCUUUCAGUCAUGGCCUCAGCUAGUUUUGGGGUCUCUGGGGCCACAAAAGAAAUUCUAGCAAUUUAGGGUAACACAGCAGUACCUCUGCUCUUAGCAAUGGUUUAUCCCAUGGGUGUGGUUACUAGUGUCCUUUGAAGUUCUGACUGAUGCCACUAAUGCCAGAAAAAGUCUCCUGGCCUUCCUGAGAUUAUCUUCUGAGGAAAAAAGGAGAAAAGAGAAGUCCCUAUUCCCACAAUCACACGCGUUGUUAUCUUCUGCCGGGCCCAGAAUUAUGCAUGAGGCAGCCAAAGAGUCGUACAGGUCGAUCACUCCAGUGCCUUCCAAUCUCAGGAGAGGAAAGAACACACAAGCUCUUCAUACUAAUCUGGCCCCAUUCUUAUAGCCUCUUCUCUCAGCUCAUGUUUCCCAGCUCUUCCCCAUUUGUUUCUGCAGACAUCUUAUGAAUUCAUGUGCCUCAGAGACUCUCUGGACCCAAGUCAUUCUCAGUAUUCUGUGAGCACGAGACAGCGGGCUUCUGUGACAGGGGGCACCAUGACACCCCAGAGCCAGGUCAGUAGGGCCUGGCUUCCUCAGAAAGUUUACACGAAAUGGUAAUAGGUCCUCACUGGCCCUUUGGGUUUUAUGUUCUUUCACUACCAGAGAGACAGCAAGAAAACCCAUGAAUAUCUCUAUCUUACACAGAUGUUAUGGAUGUUAAUAACAAGCACACUGUAGCAACACACCUUUUCCUCCAUGCUCACAUUCUCUAACUACUCACCCCUGCAUCUGAACUGCAUGCCUAGAAGGCAGGUCUCACUGUGUGACCUGAGCUCCUCGUGUUGAGGAGAGGAGGGGAUGGGGGUGGGCUCAAGGGCUGGAGGCAGAGUCGAGUUUCUCUGCCCCAGCGCGGGCUCCGGAUCCAGCCAUCCCGAGCUCCCCACCACAAGGUAGCUGGGGUGUACCCACCAGAGAAAGAUUUGCUGCUAGGCUUUAAAUCAAGAACAUUCUGGGGGCGCCUGGGUGGCUCAGUGGGUUAAAGCCUCUGUCUUUGGCUCAGGUCAUGAUCCCAGGGUCCUGGGAUCGAGCCCCACAUUGGGCUCUCUGCUCAGCAGGGGACCUGCUUCCUCCUCUCUCUUAGCCUCUCUCUCUGCCUACUUAUGAUCUCUGUCUGUCAAAUAAAUAAAACCCUUAAAAAAAAAAAAAAAAGAACAUCCUGCCUGUGAGCUCUGCCAGGUUCACUGGAGCGACCAACUUCCCCACCGCCCACACGAGAGAAAGACGUGGGCUCCUACUCCGAGG